rnacentral:rRNA from 1 species
UACGGAGGAUGCAAGCGUUAUCCGGAUUUAUUGGGUUUAAGGGUGCGUAGGCGGAUAUGUAAGUCAGCGGUGAAACUCACAGGCUCAACCUGUGCCGUGCCGUUGAAACUGUGUAUCUGGAAUGCGGAUGCUGUGGGAGGAAUGUGUAGUGUAGCGGUGAAAUGCAUAGAUAUUACACAGAACACCGAUUGCGAAGGCAUCUCACAAAGCCGUUAUUGACGCUGAGGCACGAAAGUGUGGGGACCAAACAGGA